rnacentral:tRNA from 1 species
GAACAUAUAGAUUAGUGGUCAGAGCGCUUAGACUGUUUCUACAAGGCGCAGGUUCGAGUCCUGCUUCGUAAA